rnacentral:rRNA from 1 species
CCUACGGGAGGCAGCAGUGGGGAAUAUUGGGCAAUGGGCGCAAGCCUGACCCAGCAACGCCGCGUGAGGGAAGAAGGCUUUCGGGUUGUAAACUUCUUUUGUCAGGGAAGAGUAGAAGACGGUACCUGACGAAUAAGCAACGGCUAACUACCUGCCAGCAGCCGCGGUAAUGCGUGGGUGGCAAGCUUUGUCCGGAUUUCCUGGGUGUAAAGGGCGUGUAGCCGGUUUGACAAGUCAGAUGUGAAGUCCUGCGGCCUAACCGCAGAACAGCAUUUGAAACUGUUGAUCUUGAGUACUGGAGAGGCAGACGGAAUUCCUAGUGUAGCGGUGAAAUGCGUAGAUAUUAGGAGGAACACCAGUGGCGAAGGCGGGAUGCCGGACAGCAACUGACGGUGAGGCGCGAAAGCGUGGGGAGCAAACAGGAUUAGAUACCCCUGUAGUC